rnacentral:rRNA from 1 species
GAUGAACGCUGGCGGCGUGCUUAACACAUGCAAGUCGAACGGUGAAGGCGGAGCUUGCUCUGCUGGAUCAGUGGCGAACGGGUGAGUAACACGUGAGCAAUCUGCCCCUGACUCUGGGAUAAGCGCUGGAAACGGCGUCUAAUACUGGAUACGAGCUGCGAAGGCAUCUUCAGCAGCUGGAAAGAAUUUCGGUCAGGGAUGAGCUCGCGGCCUAUCAGCUUGUUGGUGAGGUAAUGGCUCACCAAGGCGUCGACGGGUAGCCGGCCUGAGAGGGUGACCGGCCACAGGGGGACGGAGACAGGCCCAAGCCACGGGGGGGGGGAAGGAGGGGGAAAUAGGGCAAAGGGGGAGAAGGCGGGAGGCAAAAUCGCCGGGGGAGGAAGGACGGCUUGGGGUUGAAAACCCUCUUUGAGCGGGAAAGAAGGAAAAGGGAGGGUCCCUAAAAAAAAAGCGCGGGCUACUUACGUC